GGAAGCGUGGCCGAGUGGUUUAAGGCACCGGUCUUGAAAACCGGCGACAGGAAACUGUCCGUGAGUUCGAAUCUCACCGCUUCCGCCA
rnacentral:tRNA from 1 species